rnacentral:lncRNA from 1 species
UCACGUUUUUGGCCCCAGUCAGCUUCUGAACCUGCUUCGCAAUUUGCGUCAGGUGCUGGGACUCCAACUUCACCACCGAGGUCACCACCGCCAACUCCGUUUCGGUCAACUUGUUAUACACCAGGUCGAACUCCUUCGCUAUCUCAUUAAUGAGAUCGAUCCUCUGCGCGUCCACCAGGAUGUACAGGAAGUUUCUGGUGUGGGGUUGGAACCCCGAGGACUCCGCGAUCUCGUCCACCACCUGCCGCUUCUUCUCCACUUCCAGCGUGGGGUCCGCGAAGAAGUCCGACACCCGUGGGUCCGAGAACAGCUCGUCGAUUUUCUCGAUGUCGGAGGUGGUCGCGUCCAAAGUGUUGUUGGCGCUCGCCACGUCAGCCAGAGCCGACGCGUAGCUGGAGGCCGCCGUGGCGGACAUUCUUGCGCCCGCGGCGCCGUUGGAGCGGCGGGUGGCGGCGGCGAGCUUGAGCUUGAGGGCGGAGAAGGUGGAGCGGGGCAGGGAGACGGUGUGAGUGGGUUUCUGGGCGAGGGGCUUUCCGGGGAUUAGGACGUGUUUGGAUUGGAGGGAAGCUGUGGGAUGCUGCAAGGACGCCAUUUUUUGCGGUGAGUGAGGAAUGAAUGUGAUUGUGUUGUGAUAUUGUUUUU